rnacentral:rRNA from 1 species
UUACGGGAGGCAGCAGUAGGGAAUAUUGGACAAUGGGUGAGAGCCUGAUCCAGCCAUGCCGCGUGCAGGAAGAAGGCCUUCUGGGUUGUAAACUGCUUUUGCCAGGGGAUAAAAUUUCCUUGCGAGGAAAAUUGAAGGUACCUGGUGAAUAAGCCACGGCUAACUACGUGCCUGCAGCCGCGGUAAUACGUAGGUGGCAAGCGUUGUCCGGAUUUAUUGGGUUUAAAGGGUGCGUAGGCGGUUCCAUAAGUCAGUGGUGAAAUACAAUAGCUUAACUAUUGAGGUGCCAUUGAUACUGCGGAACUUGAGUACAGACGAGGUAGGCGGAAUUGACGGUGUAGCGGUGAAAUGCUUAGAUAUCGUCAAGAACACCGAUAGCGAAGGCAGCUUACUAGACUGUAACUGACGCUGAGGCACGAAAGUGUGGGGAUCAAACAGGAUUAGAUACCCCGGUAGG